CCUACGGGAGGCUGCAGUGGGGAAUAUUGGGCAAUGGGCGCAAGCCUGACCCAGCAACGCCGCGUGAAGGAUGACUGCUCUCGGGUUGUAAACUUCUUUUUUCAGGGACGUAGCAAGUGACGGUACCUGAUGAAUAAGUCUCGGCUAACUACGUGCCAGCAGCCGCGGUAAUCCGUAGGUGGCAAGCGUUAUCCGGAUUUACUGGGUGUAAAGGGCGUGUAGGCGGGAGUGCAAGUCAGAUGUGAAAACUAUGGGCUCAACCCAUAGCCUGCAUUUGAAACUGUACUUCUUGAGUGCUGUAGAGGCAAUCGGAAUUCGGUGUGUAGCGGUGAAAUGCGUAGAUAUACGGAGGAACACCAGUGGCGAAGGCAGAUUGCUGGACAGUAACUGACGCUGAGGCGCGAAAGCGUGGGGAGCAAACAGGAUUAGAUACCCGAGUAGUC
rnacentral:rRNA from 1 species